rnacentral:rRNA from 1 species
UACGUAGGGGGCGAGCGUUGUCCGAAGUUACUGGGCGUAAAGAGUGCGUAGGCGGCUUGACAAGUUGCAUCUAAAAGGCGGCAGCUCAACUGACGAGUGCGGUGCAAGACUGUAAAGCUUAGGCAAGCAAAAGAAUGUGGAACUCCGAGUGUAGCGGUGGAAUGCGUAGAGAUUCGGAAGAACACCCAUGGCGAAGGCAGCAUUCUG